AUUGAACGCUGGCGGCAGGCCUAACCCAUGCAAGUCGAGCGGAGCGACGGGCGGGUGAGUGAUGCCUAGGAAGCUGCCUGGUAGUGGGGGAUAACGUCCGACAACGGGCGCUAAUAACGCAUACGCUCAGUUGAGCCUAGGUCGGAUGAGUUAGUUGGUGGGGUAAAGGCUUACCAAGACGACGAUCCGUAACUGGUCUGAGAGGAUGAUCAGUCACACUGGAACUGAGACACGGUCCAGACUCCUACGGGAGGCAGCAGUGGGGAAUAUUGGACAAUGGGCGAAAGCCUGAUCCAGCCAUGCCGCGUGUGUGAAGAAGGUCUUCGGAUUGUAAAGCACUUUAAGUUGGGAGGCGUUACCAACAGAAUAAGCACCGGCUAACUUCGUGCCAGCCGCCGCGGUAAUUC
rnacentral:rRNA from 1 species